rnacentral:rRNA from 1 species
UACGUAGGUGGCAAGCGUUAUCCGGAAUUAUUGGGCGUAAAGCGCGCGCAGGUGGUUUCUUAAGUCUGAUGUGAAAGCCCACGGCUCAACCGUGGAGGGUCAUUGGAAACUGGGAGACUUGAGUGCAGAAGAGGAAAGUGGAAUUCCAUGUGUAGCGGUGAAAUGCGUAGAGAUAUGGAGGAACACCAGUGGCGAAGGCGGCUCUCUGGACCUCUGCUGACGCUGAGGCGCGAAAGCGUGGGGAGCGAUCCGG